rnacentral:rRNA from 1 species
GCAAGUCGAACGAAAAGUGAUUUAGUUUACUAAUGAUCUUUUAGUGGCGGACGGGUUAGUAACGCGUGAGCAACUUGCCUCAAAGAGGGGGAUAGUCCUGGGAAACUGGGUUUAAUACCGCAUAUGACCUACGGGUUAAAGAUGGCUUCGGCUAUCGCUUUGAGAUAGGCUCGCGUCCUAUCAGCUAGUUGGUGAGGUAAAGGCUCACCAAGGCGACGACAAGUAGUUGGUCUGAGAGGACGAUC